rnacentral:rRNA from 1 species
UACGUAGGGGGCAAGCGUUGUCCGGAUUUAUUGGGCGUAAAGAGCGUGUAGGCGGCCAGGUAGGUCCGCUGUGAAAACUCGAGGCUUAACCUCGAGAUGUCGGUGGAAACCAUCUGGCUAGAGUCCGGAAGAGGAGAGUGGAAUUCCUGGUGUAGCGGUGAAAUGCGCAGAUAUCAGGAAGAACACCAGUGGCGAAGGCGGCUCUCUGGGACGGUACUGACGCUGAGACGCGAAAGCGUGGGGAGCGAACAGG